rnacentral:rRNA from 1 species
CUGGGAAUAUUGCGCAAUGGGCGAAAGCCUGACGCAGCGACGCCGCGUGGGGGAUGAAUGCCCUCGGGUUGUAAACCCCUUUCAGCAGGAACGAAACUGACGGUACCUGCAGAAGAAGCCCCGGCCAACUACGUGCCAGCAGCCGCGGUAAGACGUAGGGGGCGAGCGUUGUCCGGAUUUAUUGGGCGUAAAGAGCUCGUAGGCGGCUCAGCAAGUCGGAUGUGAAAACUCCAGGCUCAACCUGGAGACGCCAUUCGAUACUGCUGUGGCUUGAGUCCGGUAGGGGCGCAUGGAAUAUCCAGUGUAGCGGUGAAAUGCUUAGAUAUUGGAUGGAACACCAGUGGCGAAGGCGGUGCGCUGGGCCGGAACUGACGCUGAGGAGCGAAAGCGUGGGUAGCAAACAGG